rnacentral:rRNA from 1 species
GGUUAAGUUAGAAAGGGCGCACGGUGGAUGCCUUGGCACUAGGAGCCGAAGAAGGACGGGACUAACACCGAUAUGCUUUGGGGAGCUGUACGUAAGCGUUGAUCCAGAGAUUUCCGAAUGGGGGAACCCACUAUCUUUAGUCGGAUAGUAUCCUUACGUGAAUACAUAGCGUGAGGAAGGCAGACCCAGGGAACUGAAACAUCUAAGUACCUGGAGGAAGAGAAAGAAAAAUCGAUUUCCUGAGUAGCGGCGAGCGAAACGGAAAGAGCCCAAACCAAGAAGCUUGCUUCUUGGGGUUGUAGGACACUCUAUACGGAGUUACAAAAGAAAGUUAUAAAUGAAGCGGUCUGGAAAGGCCCGCCAAAGACGGUAACAGCCCGGUAGUUGAAAUGGCUUUCCCUCCAGAGUGGAUCCUGAGUACGGCGGAACACGUGAAAUUCCGUCGGAAUCCGGGAGGACCAUCUCCCAAGGCUAAAUACUCCCUAGUGACCGAUAGUGAACCAGUACCGUGAGGGAAAGGUGAAAAGCACCCCGGAAGGGGAGUGAAACAGUUCCUGAAACCGUGUGCCUACAAGUAGUUAGAGCCCGUUAAUGGGUGAUAGCGUGCCUUUUGUAGAAUGAACCGGCGAGUUACGAUUUGUUGCAAGGUUAAGCGGAAAAAGCGGAGCCGUAGCGAAAGCGAGUCUGAAUAGGGCGCAUAAGUAACAGGUCGUAGACCCGAAACCAGGUGAUCUACCCAUGUCCAGGAUGAAGGUAAGGUAAUACUUACUGGAGGUCCGAACCCACGCACGUUGAAAAGUGCGGGGAUGAGGUGUGGGUAGCGGAGAAAUUCCAAUCGAACUUGGAGAUAGCUGGUUCUCUCCGAAAUAGCUUUAGGGCUAGCCUCGAGGUAAAGAGUCAUGGAGGUAGAGCACUGUUUGGACUAGGGGCCCUUCUCGGGUUACCGAAUUCAGAUAAACUCCGAAUGCCAUGUACUUAUACUCGGGAGUCAGACUGCGAGUGAUAAGAUCCGUAGUCGAAAGGGAAACAGCCCAGACCACCAGUUAAGGUCCCCAAAUAUAUGUUAAGUGGAAAAGGAUGUGGGGUUGCUUAGACAACCAGGAUGUUGGCUUAGAAGCAGCCACCAUUGAAAGAGUGCGUAAUAGCUCACUGGUCGAGUGACCCCGCGCCGAAAAUGUACCGGGGCUAAACAUAUUACCGAAACUGUGGAUGAACCUCUUUAGAGGUUCGUGGUAGGAGAGCGUUCUAAGGGCGGUGAAGUCAGACCGGAAGGACUGGUGGAGCGCUUAGAAGUGAGAAUGCCGGUAUGAGUAGCGAAAGAAGGGUGAGAAUCCCUUCCACCGAAUAUCUAAGGUUUCCUGAGGAAGGCUCGUCCGCUCAGGGUUAGUCGGGACCUAAGCCGAGGCCGAUAGGCGUAGGCGAUGGACAACAGGUAGAGAUUCCUGUACCAGUGCUAAUUGUUUAACCGAUGGGGUGACACAGAAGGAUAGGGAAUCGCACGAAUGGAAAUGUGCGUCCAAGCAGUGAGUGUGAGAAGUAGGCAAAUCCGCUUCUCGCGAAGCAUGAGCUGUGAUGGGGAAGGAAAUUAAGUACGGAAGUUCCUGAUUUCACGCUGUCAAGAAAAGCCUCUAGGAAGAGUAGUACUGCCCGUACCGCAAACCGACACAGGUAGAUGAGGAGAGAAUCCUAAGGUGAGCGAGAGAACUCUCGUUAAGGAACUCGGCAAAAUGACCCCGUAACUUCGGGAGAAGGGGUGCUCUAUUAGGGUGCAAGCCCGAGAGAGCCGCAGUGAAUAGGCCCAGGCGACUGUUUAGCAAAAACACAGGUCUCUGCAAAACCGUAAGGUGACGUAUAGGGGCUGACGCCUGCCCGGUGCUGGAAGGUUAAGAGGAGUGCUUAGCUUCGG